CCUACGGGAGGCUGCAGUAGGGAAUCUUCCACAAUGGGCGAAAGCCUGAUGGAGCAACGCCGCGUGGGUGAAGAAGGUCUUCGGAUCGUAAAACCCUGUCGUUAGAGAAGAAAGUGCGUGAGAGUAACUGUUCACGUUUCGACGGUAUCUAACCAGAAAGCCACGGCUAACUACGUGCCAGCAGCCGCGGUAAUACGGAGGUGGCAAGCGUUAUCCGGAUUUAUUGGGCGUAAAGGGAGCGCAGGCGGUCGUGUAAGUCUGAUGUGAAAGCCUUGGGCUUAACCGGAGUAGUGCAUUGGAAACUGGGAGGCUUGAGUGCAGAAGAGGAGAGUGGAACUCCAAGUGUAGCGGUGAAAUGCGUAGAUAUAUGGAAGAACACCAGUGGCGAAGGCGGCUCUCUGGUCUGUAACUGACGCUGAGGUUCGAAAGCGUGGGUAGCAAACAGGAUUAGAUACCCGUGUAGUC
rnacentral:rRNA from 1 species